GAAUGGCUUAUCAUUGGAAUGGGACCAGUGGCCUUAUAAGAAGAGAGACCUGAGCUAGCACACACAGCCCCCUCACAUGGGCCACCUCAGUACUCUGCAGGGUCCCCACCAGCAGGAAAGCCUUCACCAGAUAUGGCCCUUUGACUCUGACUUCUCAGCCUCCAUAACCAGAAAUCCUGAUUUUCUCUCUAGGAUGUCUAAACACCCAGGUUGACAACCACAGUCUUAAUAUUUCAUUAACUCCAGAAAUAGAAGAAAGUGUCUAAUUUCAGCAGGAUUGGUGUAUUCUCCCUCAUUCUUGGUGGAAAGAAAAGUGCUUGAGAUAGAGAAGCUGGGACGGGAGCAGAAGGAGGCUGUACACCUCCCCUCAGAGGAGCAGUCCCUCUAUAGAAGACCAAAAGCGGGCAGAGAAUAUUCAAACUUGCCCCUGUUUGCCAAGGAGACUGAGUAAAUGUCCAGCUCAGCAUGAAAGUGAUAAAGCCCAAGUGGAGUCCACAGACUGCUCAUCCUCAUUCUGUCUCCAUGCUAGAGAAGCAGGCCAGGUCUUCAUUUAUGAGAGAAGGGAUUUAUGAGAGAUCGACCAAAAAAAAAGAUAGAGAGAAAUGAUGACAAGUGUGAGAAGACUGACUUAUGAAGGGAUAAGACGAUAGAAGAGGAGAGGGAGGAAAAAAGAAGAGCAACCAAUGGAGCCACCCAAGAAGUUUAGAUCUUAGAGAACAGGAAGGAUCACAAUGACUC
rnacentral:lncRNA from 1 species